AAGUCGUAACAAGGUUUCCGUAGGUGAACCUGCGGAAGGAUCAUUAUUGAAUGAAUUUGGUGUGGUUGUUGCUGGCCUUCUUGGAGGCAUGUGCACACCUACCAUCCUCAUCUCUCCACCUGUGCACCUCUUGUAGAUUUGGAAUUGAUUAUCCGAGGCAACUCGGUCGUGAGGACUGCUAGCACUUAGCUGGCUUUCUUUGCAAUUCCAGGUCUAUGUUUUUCAUAUACCCCAUUGUAUGUAACAGAAUGUAUCAUUGGGCCUUGUGCCUAUAAACCUUAUACAACUUUCAGCAACGGAUCUCUUGGCUCUC
rnacentral:misc_RNA from 1 species